GACGAACGCUGGCGGCGUGCUUAACACAUGCAAGUCGAACGGUAAGGCCCUUCGGGGUACACGAGUGGCGUACGGGUGAGUAACACGUGGGUGAUCUGCCCUGCACUUCGGGAUAAGCCUGGGAAACUGGGUCUAAUACCGGAUAGGACCACUGCCUGCAUGGGUGGUGGUGGAAAGCUUUUGCGGUGUGGGAUGGGCCCGCGGGCUAUCAGCUUGUUGGUGGGGUGAUGGCCUGCCAAGGCGACGACGGGUAGCCGGCCUGAGAGGGUGACCGGCCACACUGGGACUGAGAUACGGCCCAGACUCCUACGGGAGGCAGCAGUGGGGAAUAUUGCACAAUGGGCGCAAGCCCGAUGCAGCGACGCCGCGUGAGGGAUGACGGCCUUCGGGUUGUAAACCUCUUUCAGCACCGACGAAGCGCAAGUGACGGUAGGUGCAGAAGAAGGACCGGCCAACUACGUGCCAGCAGCCGCAGUAA
rnacentral:rRNA from 1 species